rnacentral:tRNA from 1 species
CUAAGGCGCUGCGUUCAGGCCGCAGUCCUCGCGGGCGUGGGUUCGAAUCCCACUUCAGUCA